UGAGAGGGCGACCGGCCACACUGGGACUGAGACACGGCCCAGACUCCUACGGGAGGCAGCAGUGGGGAAUAUUGCACAAUGGGGGAAACCCUGAUGCAGCGACGCAGCGUGCGGGAUGACGGCCUUCGGGUUGUAAACCGCUUUCAGCAGGGAAGAAGCCACCUUUGGUGGUGACGGUACCUGCAGAAGAAGUACCGGCUAACUACGUGCCAGCAGCCGCGGUAAUACGUAGGGUACAAGCGUUGUCCGGAAUUAUUGGGCGUAAAGAGCUCGUAGGUGGUUGGUCACGUCUGCUGUGGAAACGCAACGCUUAACGUUGCGCGUGCAGUGGGUACGGGCUGACUAGAGUGCAGUAGGGGAGUCUGGAAUUCCUGGUGUAGCGGUGAAAUGCGCAGAUAUCAGGAGG
rnacentral:rRNA from 1 species